UCUAUCCUGUGACAUUAGUUGUUACAUUAGCUUAUUACCAGUCAGGCCAAAGUGUGCAUGUUGGUCAGUGUGAAACUAAGCCUCACACUACUCUUCUUUCAGUUCCACUCAUCACUGCCCGUCCAGUACUCCGCAACGCCUCCCGUGCACGAGGUGUCGUCAAGGGCCUCUUUAAGUGCAACCAGUGUCGAGCAGAGUUCACAGAAAACGCCAACCUGUCCCGUCAUCGCCGCACAAUGCAUGCAGCGGUACCAAGUGUGUUUGUCUGCCACAUCUGCACGAGGACAUUUAAUCGCAGCGACAACAUGCACAUGCACAUAAAAAAUGUUCAUGGUGGAGGCAGUGCAGUGGCAUCAAAGUGAAGCACACUUCAGCUGCAGACCUGUCAACAUGGGAGCCUGCUGCUUUUGGUGCUCUUCAUCGUGUGGACUAGCACAUGUGACUGAUUAGGCAGAUAUACGAAGUUGUUAAGAAGUGUUAUGUUCAUGCUUCUGAUAAAAAUAAGCACUAAUGUAAGUAGCACUUUGCUCAGGGCAUUUUAUUGAUGAUAAGUUGCGUUUGACUGAGAAUGGACGAGUUUGCAUUCCCUGGAUCUCUGCUAGAAGUUUGAUUCGAAUUGAAUUUAUUGCAGGCAGUUGCUGGUAAAAUAUAUGUGAAGUGGGCACGCUUCUUUUCUGUGCAUGUCAGCUUCUUGAGCGGACCAAAACUGUCAUGGUGCCUGCUUUGCUCGACAAUGUUUGCCUGAGGCAAAGAUAAGAUUUGUUAACAUCUGCCAUGAUCUUUUUUUCUAAUUCACUUGCACAAUGAAGAUUUGUUUUUUUUUUGCAAAUGCUGCAAAUUAGCAUCAUAUUUCAGACAUUUGGGAGCAGGGCAAUAAUAUGCUAAUCAUACUACAAAAAAAUAUGUAGAUGCAUGACCUUAGGGAAGGAGUGCAGUUGAAAGUGAAUAUUUAAUUUUUGAUUGUGCAGGAAGACAAUGUUAUGUGCAUUUGUACCAUAAAGUUUCCUGACAUGCAGGAAGCAUUCCAUUAUACGCUGAGCUUCAGCAAUCGAGCAUUGUGGGUGUAUUGUAAGGCAAACCUCUGAUUGGAGCUGUUCUGUGGCAUCUGAGCUUAAAAAAUUCGUUCGGUAGUAUUCUGCUGUGUCAGGGAACACCAUAGCAACAACAGCAGUUUGUUCUGCUUAGUCUUAUGACAUCAGCAGAAGAGGGUGGUCAGCUGGGUAAGUUGCUAAGAUGUCAUAGCAAAAAGAACAUGUACUAAACAGGGACAUAAAGUAUGAUGAGAUGAGUAUUUAAUUUAAGGCCCGUGUCACUCGUGUUUCCUUUAUAUCUCUUUCCUGCUCAGGCUCUUUUUCACAGUGACAUCAGCACUUCUAAAAAUAUAAGCACCUUGUAUUCAGGCUAUGAAAACCUUGGACACCCUUAGAAGUUUUUAGAAAUAAAACUUCUCUGGCUUCCCUGAAGAACAUAAAAUAAAAAUUUUCAUAAAUUUAUUGAAAACUGGGAUGCAGCCAGUUCAUAUUAUAAAAACCAACAUGCAUAAGAUGUGGGUGCAUAUGGCAGAAGCACUGCUUUGAGUACUCUUGGAAAAUCUAGAUUGACGUUUCAUGGAGGGAUGACCAUGUUCAUAAGUUUGAUUUCCUCAAAAUGGUCGCAUAAUAAAGAAAGUAGCAUAGUGUAUGGUAACCUGUGUUCAUGCUACAAAAAACUAUUAUGUAGCACACUGUUGAGUACCCAUUCAAAAGGAAAGCUAUACCAUCACUAUAAGCACCAUAAAAGAUCUGCUAAAGAGUCUAUAAAAUAGAAGUGUAGUCUGUGAAGAGGAAUUUACAACUGAAAUGAAUUAUGUUGAUCUUUCACAUACAGGUAAUGCUUGCCUAACUCCUUUUGAAUAUUGCCUUCAGUAUUCCUAAAAUUCUUUGUUUUGGAAUCUUGAGUCUGGUAUACAUCAUGAACCAAGUAAGUUGUAAAAUCAAGAUUUUCAAGAAACUACAAAUGAUAACUUAGAAAUCAGUGGAAACUGGAAGCUGGGUGGUACAGUUACAUUUUGUUCAAUCGCUUGCUGUGGUGCAUUCAUUGUAUGCACAAUUGUCCCGCCUUCUCCAAACAUGACAUUGAAAAUGUUAUCUUUGCUUAUUUUAGUCAGCUACUGUUUGAGUUUUUGACUGAUUGUUACCUGUAACUGGUUUUCUAUAUGCUGUACUUGUUACAGGUUGCCGGGACUAGCCAUAAAUAUUUGUCAAGGCUAGGACAAUACUGCUUCAUAAUUAUUGAAUACAGAAUAAUACCUCAUUACUGGAAGCCUUGAAUGAACUUUUCAAAAUGCUGCAUCUUGCCUGUGAGCCACUUGCUCUAUUAUGCCAAAUGCCAGGCUAAAUUCAAAGGCUGGCUGUCAGUUUGUCACGCACCACAGCACAAUCAUAGAUAGAUUGGGACAUGUUCACAUCCUCACUGGCAUCGCUCGUUGCUGGUGACUCGUCAAAUGAUGGAACUGUAGAAAUGGUGCAAACAGAAGAGAAGCUUGGUCCUGCCGAAUGCCCCAUCUGCCACAAAGUUCUUUGCAAUUAUUUCAUCAUGAAACGGCACAUGGUGUUACAUGACCAGAACAGGCUGGCCUAUGAGUGUGCUUUGUGCAAUAAGGCUUUCAAAUGGAAGCAUGGGCUUAUUCGACACUGCCGGACUGCGCACGCGGCAGAUGUUGAUUUGUGCUGACUCUCUGUGCUAGACUUCUAAUCAGUGCCAACAUUUUGAUAAUCAGGCUUUGCACUGCAUUAUUUGACUUUGCCUCUCCUCUUCUCAGAUUAGUGUCCUGGCAGCCCUGAAAGGAUACAACACACAGUUUGCUCUACAGUUGUUGAAAUAGUAGAAUUGCUCUUCAUAAUGCAGUAUAUCUUGAAUAAUUUGAACCGAGCAGCAAUUGCUUGCUAAGAAUGAUUUUGUUUCACACCAUUUUUAAACACAUGCUGCUUGCUUAUAAUGCACCAGUUACAGACAUGAUUCUCUGUGUUACAUAAUUAGCAAAAUAACAAAAAUGAAUUAGGUGUAUGGGAGCUCAAGAUAUGUGAGAAUACUUAACUUAGAGCUAAUGUGUGAAUUCAGUUGCUUAGUAAUGCAAUAUGCAAGAGAAGCCUGCAACUGUGGUAUUUCAUUCUGCACCCAGCAACGAAUCUGUGAAAUAUCAUUGAAGAUCAAAUCAAUCUUGGAUGGUUGUGUUAAUGCUCAUUAUAGUGCUUCAGAAACUUGACAUUGUGAUGCUUAGAAUGAGGUAACAGAUUUGAUUCCAUUUGUAGCAGUCAUACUUAAAUGGGAGAGAAAUGAACUAAAAAAAAUAUAACACUUGUUUAUAAUGCUUUGUGGGUGAUGAAAGUUAACCACGAGCCUUCCCACCACAGCAUCCCUUAUAGCCCACUGUACAGCUUCAGGACAGUACACCCCACAAUUUUAAGUUUGUUUAAGCUAGGGCUGGCUGCAUACCCUUCACAUAAUGCGCAGCUUGCCAUUACUAUACAUUUGUUAAGUGCACCUUAAACUGUCUGACAAAGGGCCAACAAAGUCAAAUUGAAAAGGAAGUGCCAGCUGAGAACAGCUGAGUGAAAUGUUGCUUGUAAUAACUGUUGGGGUUUAAUGUCGCAAGACCACGACAUGAUUAUGAGGGACGUUGUAGCAGAGGGCUCCAGAAAUUUAGACCAUCUAGGGUUCUUUAACGUGCACCUAAAUUUAAGUACACGGGCCUCAAGCAUUUUCGCCUCCAUUGAAAAUGCAGCCGCAGUGGCCGGGAUUCGAUCCCGCGACCUUCGGAGUAAAGUGUUACUUAAGGACAUUUAUAUUUUUAAUGUUCAAAACAAACCCAAAGCAUUGCAACUGAGCUUGAAGUAUAGAAAAGAUUGCAUUAGAACUAGGCUAUUGAGCCAUUUUUGUUUUCUUGCUUUAGUCCUAGCACUCAUUAUUUUGUCUUUAUUACAAAUCUCUCAAAAUGUCUUGUUUUUUUUCCAUCUUUUGUUCACUGCUUGGUUUUAAACUUUAAGGUGCAAAUAUCUCAAACUGAUCAUGUCAAUUUAAUCACCUGCAUUUUAAGAGUAUGAGCAUGUGAAUUUUCUACUUGAAAAAUUUUAGCUUUCUGUAAUGUGAAGAGUUCACGUGCCAGCACAUUUGCAUUUUAGUAAUAAUUUGGCAGUGGCAGAAAAUAUUAACGUGUGCUUCGGUUUAUAUGAAACAGUGUUUUGGCUUUUUACGGUGU
rnacentral:lncRNA from 1 species